CAGUAGCCGCGGUAAUACGGAAGGUCCGGGCGUUAUCCGGAUUUAUUGGGUUUAAAGGGAGCGUAGGCCGGGGAUUAAGUGUGUUGUGAAAUGUAGGCGCCCAACGUCUGACUUGCAGCGCAUACUGGUUCCCUUGAGUACGCGCAACGCCGGCGGAAUUCGUCGUGUAGCGGUGAAAUGCUUAGAUAUGACGAAGAACCCCGAUUGCGAAGGCAGCCGGCGGGAGCGCAACUGACGCUGAAGCUCGAAGGUGCGGGUAUCGAACAGGAUUAGAGACCCCGGUAGUCCCUGUCUCUUAUAA
rnacentral:rRNA from 1 species